rnacentral:rRNA from 1 species
UACGUAGGGGGCAAGCGUUGUCCGGAAUCAUUGGGCGUAAAGAGCGUGUAGGCGGCUCGUUAAGUCGGAUGUGAAAGUCCAGGGCUCAACCCUGGAAUGCCGGUGGAUACUGUCGGGCUCGAAUCCGGAAGAGGUGAGUGGAAUUCCUGGUGUAGCGGUGAAAUGCGCAGAUAUCAGGAGGAACACCAAUGGCGAAGGCAGCUCACUGGGACGGUAUUGACGCUGAGACGCGAAAGCGUGGGGAGCAAACAGG